rnacentral:rRNA from 2 species
CCGGCGAUGUCCGAAUGGGGAAACCCAGUGCAAUUCGUUGCACUAUCGUUAACUGAAUACAUAGGUUAACGAGGCGAACCGGGGGAACUGAAACAUCUAAGUACCCCGAGGAAAAGAAAUCAACCGAGAUUCCCCCAGUAGCGGCGAGCGAACGGGGAGCAGCCCAGAGUCUGAAUCAGCUUGUGUGUUAGUGGAACGGUCUGGAAAGUCCGACGGUACAGGGUGAUAGUCCCGUACACCAAAAUGCACAGGCUGUGAACUCGAAGAGUAGGGCGGGACACGUGGUAUCCUGUCUGAAUAUGGGGGGACCAUCCUCCAAGGCUAAAUACUCCUGACUGACCGAUAGUGAACCAGUACCGUGAGGGAAAGGCGAAAAGAACCCCGGCGAGGGGAGUGAAAAAGAACCUGAAACCGUGUACGUACAAGCAGUGGGAGCACCUUCGGGUGUGACUGCGUACCUUUUGUAUAAUGGGUCAGCGACUUAUAUUCUGUAGCAAGGUUAACCGUAUAGGGGAGCCGCAGGGAAACCGAGUCUUAACUGGGCGUUAAGUUGCAGGGUAUAGACCCGAAACCCGGUGAUCUAGCCAUGGGCAGGUUGAAGGUUGGGUAACACUAACUGGAGGACCGAACCGACUAAUGUUGAAAAAUUAGCGGAUGACUUGUGGCUGGGGGUGAAAGGCCAAUCAAACCGGGAGAUAGCUGGUUCUCCCCGAAAGCUAUUUAGGUAGCGCCUCGUGAAUUCAUCUUCGGGGGUAGAGCACUGUUUCGGCUAGGGGGUCAUCCCGACUUACCAACCCGAUGCAAACUACGAAUACCGAAGAAUGUUAUCACGGGAGACACACGGCGGGUGCUAACGUCCGUCGUGAAGAGGGAAACAACCCAGACCGCCAGCUAAGGUCCCAAAGUCAUGGUUAAGUGGGAAACGAUGUGGGAAGGCACAGACAGCCAGGAUGUUGGCUUAGAAGCAGCCAUCAUUUAAAGAAAGCGUAAUAGCUCACUGGUCGAGUCGGCCUGCGCGGAAGAUGUAACGGGGCUAAACCAUGCACCGAAGCUGCGGCAGCGACACUAUGUGUUGUUGGGUAGGGGAGCGUUCUGUAAGCCUGCGAAGGUGACCUGUGAGGGUUGCUGGAGGUAUCAGAAGUGCGAAUGCUGACAUAAGUAACGAUAAAGCGGGUGAAAAGCCCGCUCGCCGGAAGACCAAGGGUUCCUGUCCAACGUUAAUCGGGGCAGGGUGAGUCGACCCCUAAGGCGAGGCCGAAAGGCGUAGUCGAUGGGAAACAGGUUAAUAUUCCUGUACUUGGUGUUACUGCGAAGGGGGGACGGAGAAGGCUAUGUUAGCCGGGCGACGGUUGUCCCGGUUUAAGCAUGUAGGCUGGUUAUCCAGGCAAAUCCGGAUAAUCAAGGCUGAGGUGUGAUGACGAGGCACUACGGUGCUGAAGUAACAAAUGCCCUGCUUCCAGGAAAAGCCUCUAAGCAUCAGGUAACAUCAAAUCGUACCCCAAACCGACACAGGUGGUCAGGUAGAGAAUACCAAGGCGCUUGAGAGAACUCGGGUGAAGGAACUAGGCAAAAUGGUGCCGUAACUUCGGGAGAAGGCACGCUGGUGUGUAGGUGAAGUCCCUGCGGAUGGAGCUGAGACCAGUCGAAGAUACCAGCUGGCUGCAACUGUUUAUUAAAAACACAGCACUGUGCAAACACGAAAGUGGACGUAUACGGUGUGACGCCUGCCCGGUGCCGGAAGGUUAAUUGAUGGGGUUAUCCGUAAGGAGAAGCUCUUGAUCGAAGCCCCGGUAAACGGCGGCCGUAACUAUAACGGUCCUAAGGUAGCGAAAUUCCUUGUCGGGUAAGUUCCGACCUGCACGAAUGGCGUAAUGAUGGCCAGGCUGUCUCCACCCGAGACUCAGUGAAAUUGAACUCGCUGUGAAGAUGCAGUGUACCCGCGGCAAGACGGAAAGACCCCGUGAACCUUUACUAUAGCUUGACACUGAACAUUGAGCCUUGAUGUGUAGGAUAGGUGGGAGGCUUUGAAGCGUGGACGCCAGUCUGCGUGGAGCCAACCUUGAAAUACCACCCUUUAAUGUUUGAUGUUCUAACGUUGGCCCCUGACCGGGGUUGCGGACAGUGUCUGGUGGGUAGUUUGACUGGGGCGGUCUCCUCCCAAAGCGUAACGGAGGAGCACGAAGGUUAGCUAAUCCUGGUCGGACAUCAGGAGGUUAGUGCAAUGGCAUAAGCUAGCUUGACUGCGAGCGUGACGGCGCGAGCAGGUGCGAAAGCAGGUCAUAGUGAUCCGGUGGUUCUGAAUGGAAGGGCCAUCGCUCAACGGAUAAAAGGUACUCCGGGGAUAACAGGCUGAUACCGCCCAAGAGUUCAUAUCGACGGCGGUGUUUGGCACCUCGAUGUCGGCUCAUCACAUCCUGGGGCUGAAGUAGGUCCCAAGGGUAUGGCUGUUCGCCAUUUAAAGUGGUACGCGAGCUGGGUUUAGAACGUCGUGAGACAGUUCGGUCCCUAUCUGCCGUGGGCGCUGGAGAAUUGAGGGGGGCUGCUCCUAGUACGAGAGGACCGGAGUGGACGCAUCACUGGUGUUCGGGUUGUCAUGCCAAUGGCACUGCCCGGUAGCUAAAUGCGGAAGAGAUAAGUGCUGAAAGCAUCUAAGCACGAAACUUGCCCCGAGAUGAGUUCUCCCUGAGACUUUAAGUCUCCUGAAGGAACGUUAAAGACGAUGACGUUGAUAGGCCGGGUGUGUAAGCGCAGCGAUGCGUUGAGCUAACCGGUACUAAUGAACCGUGAGGCUUAACCUUACAACGCCGAAG